GAUGAACGCUGGCGGCGUGCCUAAUACAUGCCAGUCGAGCGAACAGACGAGGAGCUUGCUCCUCUGACGUUAGCGGCGGACGGGUGAGUAACACGUGGAUAACCUACCUAUAAGACUGGGAUAACUUCGGGAAACCGGAGCUAAUACCGGAUAAUAUAUUGAACCGCAUGGUUCAAUAGUGAAAGACGGUUUUGCUGUCACUUAUAGAUGGAUCCGCGCCGCAUUAGCUAGUUGGUAAGGUAACGGCUUACCAAGGCAACGAUGCGUAGCCGACCUGAGAGGGUGAUCGGCCACACUGGAACUGAGACACGGUCCAGACUCCUACGGGAGGCAGCAGUAGGGAAUCUUCCGCAAUGGGCGAAAGCUUGACGGAGCAACGCCGCGUGAGUGAUGAAGGUCUUCGGAUCGUAAAACUCUGUUAUUAGGGAAGAACAAAUGUGUAGGUAACUAUGCACGUCUUGACGGUACCUAAUCAGAAAGCCACGGCUAACUACGUG
rnacentral:rRNA from 1 species